AACGAACGCUGGCGGCAGGCUUAACACAUGCAAGUCGAGCGAAUCUUGAGGUGCUUGCACCUCUUGAUUAGCGGCGGACGGGUGAGUAACACGUGGGCAACCUGCCUGUAAGACUGGGAUAACUUCGGGAAACCGGAGCUAAUACCGGAUAAUUCUUUCCCUCUCAUGAGGGAAAGCUGAAAGACGGUUUCGGCUGUCACUUACAGAUGGGCCCGCGGCGCAUUAGCUAGUUGGUGAGGUAACGGCUCACCAAGGCGACGAUGCGUAGCCGACCUGAGAGGGUGAUCGGCCACACUGGGACUGAGACACGGCCCAGACUCCUACGGGAGGCAGCAGUAGGGAAUCUUCCGCAAUGGACGAAAGUCUGACGGAGCAACGCCGCGUGAGCGAUGAAGGCCUUCGGGUCGUAAAGCUCUGUUGUUAGGGAAGAACAAGUAUCGGAGUAACUGCCGGUACCUUGACGGUACCUAACCAGAAAGCCACGGCUAACUACGUGCCAGCAGCCGCCGUAACAC
rnacentral:rRNA from 1 species